rnacentral:rRNA from 1 species
GAUGAACGCUGGCAGCGUGGAUAAGGCAUGCAAGUCGAGCGAUCCAUUAUGAGUUAUCGCAAGAUAAAUUUUGAUGGGUAGCGGCAAACGGGUUAGUAACACGUUGGGAACCUUCCCGGAAGUGGGGAAUAACUCGCCGAAAGGCGAGCUAAUACUCCAUGGUCCUAUAUAUCGUCAGAUAUAUAGGUAAAGCUCCGGCGCUUUCGGAAGGUCCUGCGUCCUAUCAGCUAGUUGGUGAGGUAAUGGCUCACCAAGGCUAUGACGGGUAGGGGGUGUGAGAGCACGAUCCCCAACACUGGGACUGAGACACUGCCCAGACACCUACGGGUGGCCU